GAUGAAGAACGCAGCGAAAUGCGAUAAGUAGUGUGAAUUGCAGAAUUCAGCGAAUCAUCGAAUCUUUGAACGCACAUUGCGCCCCUUGGUAUUCCGAGGGGCAUGCCUGUUCGAGCGUCAUUAUAACCCCUCAAGCUCAGCUUGGUGUUGGGGCCUGCCGCACGGGCAGCCCUUAAAAUCAGUGGCGGUGCCAUCUGGCUCUAAGCGUAGUAAUUCUUCUCGCUAUAGAGUCCCGGUGGAUGCUUGCCAUUAACCCCCAAUUUUCUAUGGUUGACCUCGGAUCAGGUAGGGAUACCCGCUGAACUUAAGCAUAUCAAUAAGCGGAGGA
rnacentral:misc_RNA from 1 species